UACGAAGGGAGCUAGCGUUGUUCGGAAUCACUGGGCGUAAAGCGCACGUAGGCGGACUUGUCAGUCAGGGGUGAAAUCCCGGAGCUCAACUUCGGAACUGCCUUUGAUACUGGGUGUCUUGAGUGUGAGAGAGGUAUGUGGAACUCCGAGUGUAGAGGUGAAAUUCGUAGAUAUUCGGAAGAACACCAGUGGCGAAGGCGGCUCACUGGCCCGGUACUGACGCUGAGGCGCGAAAGCGUGGGGAGCAAACAGG
rnacentral:rRNA from 1 species